rnacentral:lncRNA from 1 species
CCAGUGGAACAUGGCCUCAUGCUGCCAGGGAAAGCCCAAGAGGCUCUCCAGGCAUCAGCUUCACAGAGAGAAUCUUGAUGCCCAACAAGGACAGCAUUUUCAGAGAUGUACCCUUACAAGGGGUCCCCAUACAAGAUUGAAAUGAUAAAGAACUGAAGAUCCAAAGCCAGAGAAUGAUAAAGUAACUUCAACCUGACACAGUAAAACAUUGCAGGGAGAGUCCGGGAUCUGGAAUGAGAAUGCCACGUCCAGGCUGUGUUACCUUACAAAAAUUAUUAAUGCUUCAGUGGCCUCAUCUGCAGAAUGGAAAUACCAAUAAUAGUAGCUAUCUGAUAAGGUUAUUGUGGGGAUAGUAGGAGACAAUCCAUAAUAAUGUUUGAGUAGUAGCUGGCACAUUGUAGAUACUCAACAUACGCCAGCUAUUAUUGUUAUAGAAAAUAUGCAGAUCUGGAAUAGCUUGGAAAAUGUUUAUGAUACAAUAACAAAUUCAAAAGAAGUCUACUAAAUACUGUGUAUUUUAUGAUUGCAAUUUUGUAAAAACUAUAUCUGCUUAUGGAAAAAGAUUUGAAGAAAAUAUGCUUAUGUGAAAAGAAUUUCUUACAGUGAUGGGAUUACGUGUAGCUUUAUUUAUUUAUUUGAGACCAGGUCUCACUCUGUUGCCCAGGCUGCAAUACAGUGGUGUGACACCAGCUCCCUGAAACUCCUGGGCUCAAGUGAUCCUCCUGCCUCAGCCUCUUGAAUAACUGGGACUACAGGCAUGUGCCACCAUGCCCGGCUAAUAUUUAAUUUUUUUGUGGAGACAGAGUCUCCCUAUGCUGCCAUGCUGGUCUUGAACUCCUGGGCUCAAGCGAUCCUCCAG